GCGGAGCAGGGCGCUCCCUCUCGGCGCGCCGCAGCCGGGGCGGGUUCUGCCGCCCCCUCUUCUGCUCCCUCCCGAGGUCUGGGACCCUCAGCACAAGAAGAAUGCAGAGCUGUUGGAGGGGAUCCAGAGGAGGGCAACAACAUUGAUCAGAGCGUUGGAGCACCUCUGCAAUGAAGAAAGACUGAGGCACUGUCUGCCACUGGCUGAAAGAAGGCAUUGUAAGAUGAAAAGGUUGUGCAGCCAAAACCUCCCCCUGAAGAUGUUUUGAAAAAUGAGGCUGCAUCUGCAAUGUCACCAUUUGUAACAAACAAACAAACAAAAUCAACAAUAAAAAAAAACCCUCUGAGUACCUUAUUAAAAUGUGUUUUU